ACGGAUAACAUACCGAAAGGUAUGCUAAUACGGGAUAAUAUAUUUGAGAGGCAUCUCUUAAAUAUCAAAGGUGAGCCAGUACAGGAUGGACCCGCGUCUGAUUAGCUAGCUGGUAAGGUAACGGCUUACCAAGGCGACGAUCAGUAGCCGACCUGAGAGGGUGAUCGGCCACAUUGGAACUGAGACACGGUCCAAACUCCUACGGGAGGCAGCAGUGGGGAAUAUUGCACAAUGGGCGAAAGCCUGAUGCAGCAACGCCGCGUGAGUGAUGAAGGCCUUCGGGUCGUAAAACUCUGUCCUCAAGGAAGAUAAUGACGGUACUUGAGGAGGAAGCCCCGGCUAACUACGUGCCAGCAGCCGCGGUAAUACGUAGGGGGCUAGCGUUAUCCGGAUUUACUGGGCGUAAAGGGUGCGUAGGCGGUCUUUCAAGUCAGGAGUGAAAGGCUACGGCUCAACCGUAGUAAGCUCUUGAAACUGGGAGACUUGAGUGCAGGAGAGGAGAGUGGAAUUCCUAGUGUAGCGGUGAAAUGCGUAGAUAUUAGGAGGAACACCAGUUGCGAAGGCGGCUCUCUGGACUGUAACUGACGCUGAGGCACGAAAGCGUGGGGAGCAAACAGGAUUAGAUACCCUGGUAGUCCACGCUGUAAACGAUGAGUACUAGGUGUCGGGGGUUACCCCCUUCGGUGCCGCAG
rnacentral:rRNA from 1 species